rnacentral:rRNA from 1 species
UACGUAGGGUGCAAGCGUUGUCCGGAAUUAUUGGGCGUAAAGAGCUCGUAGGCGGUUCGUCACGUCGGCUGUGAAAACCUGAGGCUCAACCUCAGGCCUGCAGUCGAUACGGGCGGACUUGAGUACUGCAGGGGAGACUGGAAUUCCUGGUGUAGCGGUGAAAUGCGCAGAUAUCAGGAGGAACGCCGGUGGCGAAGGCGGCGCUCUGGGCCGGUACUGACACUGAGGAGCGAAAGCGUGGGUAGCAAACAGG